GUUUGAUUAUGGCUCAGAUUGAACGCUGGCGGAUGUGCUUUACAUGCAAGUCGAACGGCGGCCUGGACUUCGGUCUGGUGGCGAGUGGCGAACGGGUGAGUAAUGUAUCGGAACGUGCCUAGUAGCGGGGAUUAUUCGCGAAAGCGUAGCUAAUACCGCAUGCGCCCUUCGGGGAAAGCGGGGGACCUUCGGGCCUCGCACUAUUAGAGCGGCCGAUAUCGGAUUAGCUAGUUGGUGGGAAUGCUAACGGCUCACCAAGGCGACGAUCCGUAGCUGGUUUGAGAGGACGACCAGCCACACUGGGACUGAGACCUGGCCCAGACUCCUACGGGAGGCAGCAGUGGGGAAUUUUGGACAAUGGGGGAAACCCUGAUCCAGCCGCAUCCCGCGUGCCGAUGAAGGCCUUCGGGUUGUAAAGCACUUUUGGCAGGAAAACGGCCUGGGAUAAUACCCCGUGCAACUGACGUACCUGCAGAAUAAGCACCGGCUAACUACGUGCCAGCAGCCGCGGUAAUACGUAGGGUGCAAGCGUUAAUCGGAAUUACUGGGCGUAAAGCGUGCGCAGGCGGUUCCGGAAAGAAAGAUGUGAAAUCCCAGAGCUUAACUUUGGAACUGCAUUUUUAACUACCGAGCUAGAGUGUAUUAUCAGAGGGAGGUGGAAUUCCCGCGUGUAGCAGUGAAAUGCGUAGAUAUGCGGAGAGGGAACACCGAUGGCGAAGGCAGCCUCUGGGAUAACACUGACGCUCAUGUGCGAAAGCGUGGGAGCAAACAGGAUUAGAUACCCUGGUAGUCCACGCCUAAACGAUGUCAACUAGCUGUUACAGGGCCUUCGGGCCUUGGUAGCGCAGCUAACGCGUGAAGUUGACCGCCUGGGGGUACGGUCGCAAGAUUAAAACUCAAAGGAACGACGGGGACCCGCACAAGCGGUGGAUGAUGUGGAUUAAUUCGAUGCAACGCGAAAAACCUUACCUACCCUUGACAUGUCUGGAAUCCCGAAAGGAGAUUUGGGAGUGCUCGCAAGAGAACGGAACACAGGUGCUGCAUGGCUGUCGUCAGCUCGUGUCGUGAGAUGUUGGGUUAAGUCCCGCAACGAGCGCAACCCUUGUCAUUAGUUGCUACGAGAAAGGCACUCUAAUGAGACUGCCGGUGACAAACCGGAGGAAGGUGGGGAUGACGUCAAGUCCCUCAUGGCCCUUAUGGGUAGAGACUUCACACGUCAUACAAUGGUCGGGACAGAGGAAUUCGCCAACCCGCGAGAGGAGCCAAUCCCAGAAACCCGAUCGUAGUCGGAUCACCAGUCUGCAACUCGACUGCGUGAAGUCGAAUCCGCUAGUAAUCGCGGAUCAGCAUGUCGCGGUGAAUACGUUCCCGGGUCUUGUACACACCGCCCGUCACACCAUGGGAGUGGGUUUUACCAGAAGUAGUUAGCCUAACCGUAAGGAGGGCGAUUACCACGGUAGGAUUCAUGACUGGGGUGGAGAUGUAACAAGGUAA
rnacentral:rRNA from 1 species